UUCGCUUGUAUGACUCAUGAGACAUUACUGUAGCAGGAUGCUGGAGUCCAUCCUAGUUGACUUCAGGCAGUAGGCGGUGGACACUCUGAACUGGACGCCAGCCAAUCGCAAGGCAAGCAUUGACGAACAACCAUUCACAACCACAUGUUUUUGAAAUGUGGGAGGAAAUUGGAUUAAACCCACGCAGGCACGAAACAUAUAAACUCCAGUGAAAACAGUUAAUUAAAACACUAAAUGAUAUAAAGCAGCAUAACAAUAAAGUUGGUCAAAAGCCGUGGUUGUUGAGAACAAAUUUUAGAACUGAACAAGAUAAGGGGACGGACCAGAAACAGAAAACAGGCGAUCUAAGGCUCCAUUGGGGAAAACAAAGGGAGAGUCUGAUCCAGGAGCCGACGUGCCGUUCCCAUUAGGCAUCCCAUCAAAACGCAAUCUACAUGAUCAAGAGUUUGCAAGACUCUAAUAGCCUCCAAGUGGCCCCGGAGAACAACAGAUGAUUUUAUGUAAAAAUCCAUGGAAGUGUUUCAAAUCUCACAAUGAACUUGGCUUGAGCGUUUUGAAUGACUGAAAACUAUGUCCACACCUCCACCACCACCACAGUAAAGCUAAGUUAAGCAAGUUCCCAUUUUCAAGGUGUGUCCUUGAUUAGAUAAUGAAUUUUUGUUACCUUAAGAUCCGCCCAAACACACUCCGUAAGAUAUAUUCGCUUGUUCAGAUCGGUGGCAUACAACAAGCUCACAUUGUCCGACACUGAGAAGAAACAAUCAUGAGGGUCUACGUUGUCCUCCUGCUGCUGGCGCUGUUGGCCAUAACUGCUUGUGUCAUGGCUGCUGAAGUCGAAAAGAUGGAGCAGCCCAAGAAUGGAUUUCCACCGAGCCUCCAAUCAGAGCAGCUCGCGAACUCAAACCUACGAGGCAUCCGAUCACAGAGUCUAGGGCCCCCACAGGGCAUCCGAUCACAGAGUCUAGGGCCCCCAAAGGGCAUCCGAUCAAGGCGCCAGCUGCCAAACAUUUUGGCCACCGCUAGAAGACGCGGCAGACACGGCACACAAGGCUGACGCGACAGAGCAAUCUAUAGAUAGGAAUCUAUUUUUAUGUCAGGAAGAUCCUCAGAAAGAGUUUCAAAUCUCACAAUAAACCUUUCCAUGACAAUUUA